GCUUUAAUUUGCAGGUAUAACGUGUUCUUGGAUUGCCCCAUAACCGUUGAUGUAAAUAGACUUAUCCAUGGUGGCCAUUUAAUAAAAUAUGAAAGUGAAGGAUAUGCAAGAAUUGUUAUAAUGCCUCGUUAUGGAGAUGAAGAUUCAAUCCGGUGGUUUGAAGUGAAACCAAAUUGCACAUUUCACAUUAUCAAUUGCUUUGAGGAUGGUGAUGAGGUUGUUGUAUGGGGGUCUAGAGCUCUUGCAUCAGUCAUACCAAGACCUCAACCGGGUUCAAAGCAAUUUGAGUGGUUUCCAGCAAAAUUUAAGCCCGGUAAACCAAUGGAAGAUGCCAUUUCAGAAGACCAGUUAUUAUUUCAUCGUCCAUAUUAAUGGAGACUGAAUGUGCGAACCGGAGAAGUGAUGGAGAGAUUUCUGAUAGAACCAAAUCAUUUCCCCAUGGGAUUUCCUAUGAUUAAUGAAGCUUUUAUAGGUGUCAAAAACAAGUACUGUUACACCCAAGUUUGUAAUUUUGACCCAAGAUCCGCCUCAGAUAGUAGAAAAAACAUAAGCCCCCUUA